CCCAGUGGUUUGUGGAGAGCAUGUGCCCACUAAGGAUCCAUAACAUUUCUCCUGAUUAAAGCUGCUGAAGCCGAACUGGUCUAAACCUCAUGUUGUCUGUCUGGAGAGUAGGAAGUGAACAAUAGUUUGAGUGCAGUCCUGAUGGAGAGAGAGAAAUAAAAGACUCUUGAGGAAGGCUGCCCAUUUAUAAAACUAUCCUCAUGGAGAACAAGAUGAGGAGUUAAGAAGAAAAAGAGGAGACUGGCAGGAGCAAGUCAGGUCAAUAGGACCCUCAGAGCUUGGGAUUCUGGAGUAACAACAGUAGCUGAUAUUUAUAUCCUGCCAUAAGACAUUUUCCAACGUUAAUGAUCGAAGACACAAGUUAUGAGCAUGAAAAGAAAUAUGUGACAACAGCGUAGUCAGAGAAGACCAGGGGCCCAAAAUGAUAGGAUCUGGAUGCAAAACCUCCCUCUGUAGCUCACUCCUUCUGUGACUUUGGGCUUUGACUUCCUCAUUUGGAAAAUUAAGGGGCUGGACUCCAUGCAUGGUCUCUGAGAUCUGUUCUCAUUUUAAAUUUAUGAAGUGAGAAACAAGGCACUUACUAGUAUUCCUUUGAACACAAUUUUGACUAGAUUUGAUUUCUCAGACAUUUCCAAUUUUCACUUUAACAUCUUUUAAUGGACAGUUUUAAUUUUAAUUUUUUAAACAUGCAAUACUUCUAUAUAAAUUUC